rnacentral:snoRNA from 1 species
UGGGUAGCGAUGAUUAUACUAAUUCCUCCAACUGAUUGUUGUUGCCACGGCGUGAGAAACCAUUUUACACCCACAGAAUAUGAGCUUCC